AGACGCGCCCCCACCUACCGGCGACAGAGAACGAUCGAUUCCCUCCAUUGUUCCUCCGUCGUCCGUUCGUCUCAUAACAGUUUCCUCCGCUCGACGCGUGAAAGAAAAUAGACGAGGGAUCAGCGCAGAACACCGACAGGUUCGGGGAAGAGGAAGAGAAAUCGUCGCAUCACGCCGUCGGAGGCAGGGGUUUGGGUCGCGGUCUCCCCCUCUCCCCCGAGUCGAGCUCCCCGUAAUGUUUCCACGGAGCUUCGAGUGAACGAAUCAGGCGAUACGAGUAUGAACACACGAGCACAAGCACGGAGCGGGGGGUAAAGAUUUUUGAUCUCGGACAGAGAACUUCUCGAGAGCGAUGGCCGCCUCCGCUCCUCGCCGGCGGGACAGGGGCAGGGGCAGGAGGGCUGCCGCCAAAACCCCCCUCUGACCUCCCUCCAGCACGCGACCCCGACCCCCCGACUAGUUAAUUUAUCGGAAAACAGGGCCGAAAAUAUCUCCCACAGAACAGCGCCAUCGUAC
rnacentral:lncRNA from 1 species